AAACUUGAGAGUUUGAUCAUGGCUCAGAACGUACGCUGGCGGCACGCCUAACACAUGCAAGUCGAACGAAGUAGCAAUACUUAGUGGCAGACGGGUGAGUAACAUGUAGGUAUCUGCCCUUUGGCCUGGAAUAACACGAGGAAACUUGUGCUAAUACCGGAUAAGUCUUUACGGAGAAAGCUUUAUGCACCAUUGGAUGAGCCUGCACUUGAUUAGUUUGUUGGUGGGGUAAUGGCCUACCAAGACUGUGAUCAAUAGCUGAUUUGAGAGGAUGAUCAGCCACAUUGGGACUGAGACACGGCCCAAACUCCUACGGGAGGCAGCAGUGGGGAAUCUUGCACAAUGGAGGAAACUCUGAUGCAGCGAUGCCGCGUGAGUGAAGAAGGCCCUUGGGUUGUAAAGCUCUUUCGUCGGGGAAGAAAAUGACUGUACCCGAAUAAGAAGGUCCGGCUAACUUCGUGCCAGCAGCCGCGGUAAUACGAAGGGACCUAGCGUAGUUCGGAAUUACUGGGCUUAAAGAGUUCGUAGGUGGUUGAAAAAGUUAGUGGUGAAAUCCCAGAGCUUAACUCUGGAACUGCCAUUAAAACUUUUCAGCUAGAGUAUGAUAGAGGAAAGCAGAAUUUCUAGUGUAGAGGUGAAAUUCGUAGAUAUUAGAAAGAAUACCAAUUGCGAAGGCAGCUUUCUGGAUCAUUACUGACACUGAGGAACGAAAGCAUGGGUAGCGAAGAGGAUUAGAUACCCUCGUAGUCCAUGCCGUAAACGAUGUGUGUUAGACGUUGGAAAUUUAUUUUCAGUGUCGCAGCGAAAGCGAUAAACACACCGCCUGGGGAGUACGACCGCAAGGUUAAAACUCAAAUGAAUUGACGGGGACCCGCACAAGUAGUGGAGCAUGUGGUUUAAUUCGAAGAUACGCGCAGAACCUUACCAACACUUGACAUGUUCGUCGCGACUCUAAGAGAUUAGAGUUUUCGGUUCGGCCGGACGAAACACAGGUGCUGCAUGGCUGUCGUCAGCUCGUGUCGUGAGAUGUUGGGUUAAGUCCCGCAACGAGCGCAACCCUCACUUUUAGUUGCCAUCAUUAAGUUGGGCACUCUGAAAGAACUGCCAGUGAUAAGCUGGAGGAAGGUGGGGAUGACGUCAAGUCCUCAUGGCCCUUACGUGUUGGGCUACACACGUGCUACAAUGGUAUCUACAACAGGAAGCAAGACUGCGAAGUUAAGCAAAUCCCUAGAAGAUACCUCAGUUCGGAUUGCACUCUGCAACUCGAGUGCAUGAAGCUGGAAUUACUAGUAAUCGUGGAUCAGCGUGCCACGGUGAAUGCGUUCCCGGGUCUUGUACACACCGCCCGUCACACCAUGGGAGUUGGUUCUACCUUAAGGCAAGGUUUCAAACCCUUGACCACGGUAUAGUCAGCGACUGGGGUGAAGUCGUAACAAGGUAGCCGUAGGGGAACCUGCGGCUGGAUUACCUCCUUU
rnacentral:rRNA from 1 species